ensembl:lincRNA 4930412M03Rik RIKEN cDNA 4930412M03 gene
GAAGCGCGGGCGUCUGCCCUCCCGCCGCCCGUUUCGAGGUCGUGGAGAGGAGAGGAAAUGGCCCCGGAGCAACCACGCAGCUGCCUGAUCGUCUGGCCCGACCGCGCCUCAGUAGAUUUGGGUCCUGGUCUGAGCAGCCGGGCUGGUGCGGGUGUCCUCACUAGGAUAAUGAAUACAGCUCCACUACCUAUACUACCCAAGACGACCCCUCACACGCUCUGCGAGGAAACCGGUCUUCGGACCUGUGCCCCCAACCUGGUGGCCUGCACCAGUGAUAGGGCAAUUUGACUCCUAGUCGUGGGGGCUUGUGAUACUAUCUCUACCUACAGACACCCACUGCCUGUCACUGCACAGUAAACCUUCCUGCUCCACAGGGCUGCCUCCCCACUGGAAUUCCCACCGUGUUCCUGGUUCUGGAAAGUCUGUUUUCCCGGGUGGCCAUGAUACCCUCCCUACUACUCCACUUCUUCCUUGCAGUCACAAGCAGCAGAGUGGAAUGGGAGCUCGACACUGACUAGGCCUUUAACAGUCCUAAGUGCAACAGAAGAGCUGCAGCUUUCAGACAGACAGAGUGAAAGGUUUCUCAUUAGCAUCCCUCAACCUCGGGAAGCUUCUCCCGGUCCCGAAGGCUAAGAGCCUUUUCCAGCAGCCAGCCUUGCAAUGCUACCCUUCUCCUCCACCUCUGAAGCUUUGAGAUUGGGCCACCAUGUUGGACUAGGAUUGCAGAAGGCCAUUGCUGGUUCUGCACUUUCCUUUGAGCUUAGACGUCACAACUCAUCAUGCAAUUGUGAUUAUUACAGUCCUUUCUGCAGUGCCAGUGUACCCACCAGGCUGGACACUUCAAAAUGGCAGGGCUAUAUCUGUGUGGCUACUACUACCUUGCAGCAAGGCUUGUUGAGCCCUUACAGUACUAUAGAUGUCUUGGCCAGCUGGUUUGUUGUUAUAGCGACAGUGGACUGCAGUGUUCUGCUGAGACAACCGAGAAUUCCUCCAGACAUGACUCAAACAUCCCCAAGUGACAAAAUUACCUAGAAUUGAUAGCCUCCUCUCUCUCCACAGCCUAUCCUGGCGUCCCUGAAAUAAAUGAAUGCACAGCUCUGCUCUGUCUUAG